rfam:Trichobilharzia regenti genome assembly, scaffold: TRE_scaffold0000949
GUACUGCUAAAGAGUCCCAAAUUAGAACGAAACAUAUGUCCAGUAC